UCCUGGGAGGUCUAGUGGUUAGGCCUCAACGCUCUCAUCGCUGUUGCCUGGGUUCAAUUCCUGGCCAGGGAA